CUCCUUUGACGUUAGCGGCGGACGGGUGAGUAACACGUGGGUAACCUACCUAUAAGACUGGGAUAACUUCGGGAAACCGGAGCUAAUACCGGAUAAUAUUUCGAACCGCAUGGUUCGAUAGUGAAAGGUGGUUUUGCUAUCACUUAUAGAUGGACCCGCGCCGUAUUAGCUAGUUGGUAAGGUAACGGCUUACCAAGGCGACGAUACGUAGCCGACCUGAGGAGGGUGAUCGGCCACACUGGAACUGAGACACGGUCCAGACUCCUACGGGAGGCAGCAGUA
rnacentral:rRNA from 1 species